CCGUAGCCCAAGAGAUCGGGAUAACACCUGGAAACAGAUGCUAAUACCGGAUAACAACAGAUGAUGCCUAUCAACUGUUUAAAAGAUGGUUCUGCUAUCACUCUUGGAUGGACCUGCGGUGCAUUAGCUAGUUGGUAGGGUAACGGCCUACCAAGGCGAUGAUGCAUAGCCGAGUUGAGAGACUGAUCGGCCACAUUGGGACUGAGACACGGCCCAAACUCCUACGGGGAGGCAGCAGC
rnacentral:rRNA from 1 species